GCAUUCUAUGAUUUCAGGCAGAAUGUUAAGCCUCUUCACUUUUCCUGAUGCCCGGGAAUUCUUAUUAAGUUAUGACUAACAAAGUGUAAAAUAUGAGUCAAAAUUUAGUCCCUAAUAAAGUCAUUGUGACUUUAAUGACUUUGGCAGUUGUUUCAUACUGCAAAAACAGGAAGAUCUCACACAAUAAGGCGCCUGUCUCACAGAUGGGCUCCUGCGCAGACGGCCACCC
rnacentral:lncRNA from 1 species